rnacentral:lncRNA from 1 species
GAAAGAGAUGGAGUAAGUUGGCCACGUCUCAUAAAAGAUGCAUAGUGAUCUGGGUUGCCUCAUUCCAGGGCCCAUGCUCUCAGCUGUUCUGCCACAGUGUCUGGCCCAGGAGAGCAGUUCACUGGCACAGCUGUCCCUGUAUGCGUUAGCCUUGUCCAUGGCUGGCUACUGCUGCUAUUCCUGGCCUUUGACUGCAGCCUCAAAAUUAUGCCCCGUUUCCAGGCUGGAGAGAUGGCUGUGGUUAUUAAGAACACCUUGCAGAGGACCAAGUUCAGUUCCUGACACCAAUGUCUGGCAAUUCACAACCACAAGGAACUCCAGCUCCAGGGAAACUGGUCUUCAUGGGAAUUUGCACUCACAGGCAUAUACCUGCCCUACACACAUGAACACAACUGACAACAGGGACCAACAUCCACUGACUUCUGGCUGCUGCGUUUCU